rnacentral:rRNA from 1 species
AUUGAACGCUGGCGGCAGGCCUAACACAUGCAAGUCGAGCGAGCGGCGGACGGGUGAGUAAUGUAUGGGGACUGCCCGAUGGAGGGGGAUAACUACUGGAAACGGUAGCUAAUACCGCAUACUAUCGGAUAACCCAUAUGGGAUUAGCUAGUAGGUGGGGUAAUGGCUCACCUAGGCGACGAUCCCUAGCUGGUCUGAGAGGAUGACCAGCCACACUGGGACUGAGACACGGCCCAGACUCCUACGGAGGCAGCAGUGGGGAAUAUUGCACAAUGGGCGCAAGCCUGAUGCAGCCAUGCCGCGUGUAUGAAGAAGGCCUUAGGGUUGUAAAGUACUUUCAGCCGGGAGGCGUUACCGGCAGAAGAAGCACCGGCUAACUCCGUGCCAGCCGCCGCGGUAAUAC